rnacentral:rRNA from 1 species
GAUGAACGCUGGCGGCGUGCCUAAUACAUGCAAGUCGAGCGAAUGGAUUAAGAGCUUGCUCUUAUGAAGUUAGCGGCGGACGGGUGAGUAACACGUGGGUAACCUGCCCAUAAGACUGGGAUAACUCCGGGAAACCGGGGCUAAUACCGGAUAACAUUUUGAACCGCAUGGUUCGAAAUUGAAAGGCGGCUUCGGCUGUCACUUAUGGAUGGACCCGCGUCGCAUUAGCUAGUUGGUGAGGUAACGGCUCACCAAGGCAACGAUGCGUAGCCGACCCGAGAGGUUGAUCGGCGAAACUGGGACUGAGACACGGCCCAGACUCCUACGGGAGGCAGCAGUAGGGAAUGUUCCGCAAUGGACGAAAGUCUGACGGAGCAACGCCGCGUGAGGGAUGAAGGCUUUCGGGUCAUAAAACUCUGUUGUUAGGGAAGAACAAGUGCUAGUUGAAUAAGCUGGCACCUUGACGGUACCUAACCAGAAAGCCACGGCUAACUACGUGCCAGCCGCCGCAGUAA